GACGAACGCUGGCGGCGUGCUUAACACAUGCAAGUCGAACGGAAAGGCCCUGCUUUUGUGGGGUGCUCGAGUGGCGAACGGGUGAGUAACACGUGAGUAACCUGCCCUUGACUUUGGGAUAACUUCAGGAAACUGGGGCUAAUACCGGAUAGGAGCUCCUGCUGCAUGGUGGGGGUUGGAAAGUUUCGGCGGUUGGGGAUGGACUCGCGGCUUAUCAGUUUGUUGGUGGGGUAGUGGCUUACCAAGGCUUUGACGGGUAGCCGGCCUGAGAGGGUGACCGGCCACAUUGGGACUGAGAUACGGCCCAGACUCCUACGGGAGGCAGCAGUGGGGAAUAUUGCACAAUGGGCGGAAGCCUGAUGCAGCAGCGCCGCGCGGGAUGACGGCCUUCGGGUUGUAAACCGCUUUCGCCUGUGACGAAGCGUGAGUGACGGUAAUGGGUAAAGAAGCACCGGCUAACUACGUGCCAGCAGCCGCGGUGAUACGUAGGGUGCGAGCGUUGUCCGGAUUUAUUGGGCGUAAAGGGCUCGUAGGUGGUUGAUCGCGUCGGAAGUGUAAUCUUGGGGCUUAACCCUGAGCGUGCUUUCGAUACGGGUUGACUUGAGGAAGGUAGGGGAGAAUGGAAUUCCUGGUGGAGCGGUGGAAUGCGCAGAUAUCAGGAGGAACACCAGUGGCGAAGGCGGUUCUCUGGGCCUUUCCUGACGCUGAGGAGCGAAAACGUGGGGAGCGAACAGGCUUAGAUACCCUGGUAGUCCACGCUGUAAACGGUGGGUACUAGGUGUGGGGUCCAUUCCACGGGUUCCGUGCCGUAGCUAACGCUUUAAGUACCCCGCCUGGGGAGUACGGCCGCAAGGCUAAAACUCAAAGGAAUUGACGGGGCCCCGCACAAGCGGCGGAGCAUGCGGAUUAAUUCGAUGCAACGCGUAGAACCUUACCUGGGUUUGACAUGGAUCGGGAGUGCUCAGAGAUGGGUGUGCCUCUUUUGGGGUCGGUUCACAGGUGGUGCAUGGCUGUCGUCAGCUCGUGUCGUGAGAUGUUGGGUUAAGUCCCGCAACGAGCGCAACCCUUGUUCACUGUUGCCAGCACGUUAUGGUGGGGACUCAGUGGAGACCGCCGGGGUCAACUCGGAGGAAGGUGGGGAUGACGUCAAGUCAUCAUGCCCCUUAUGUCCAGGGCUUCACGCAUGCUACAAUGGCUGGUACAGAGAGUGGCGAGCCUGUGAGGGUGAGCGAAUCUCGGAAAGCCGGUCUCAGUUCGGAUUGGGGUCUGCAACUCGACCUCAUGAAGUCGGAGUCGCUAGUAAUCGCAGAUCAGCAACGCUGCGGUGAAUACGUUCCCGGG
rnacentral:rRNA from 1 species